rnacentral:tRNA from 1 species
CGGCGCAGCAGCCGGCGCGGCGGGUCCAGGCGUUCGGGACGGCUGUUGAUCUCCACCGCGGUCCCGGUCUCCGCGCACGCCGC